rnacentral:rRNA from 1 species
GUCNGGAUUUAUUGGGCGUAAAGCGAGCGCAGGCGGUUAGAUAAGUCUGAAGUUAAAGGCUGUGGCUUAACCAUAGUAUGCUUUGGAAACUGUUUAACUUGAGUGCAGAAGGGGAGAGUGGAAUUCCAUGUGUAGCGGUGAAAUGCGUAGAUAUAUGGAGGAACACCGGUGGCGAAAGCGGCUCUCUGGUCUGUAACUGACGCUGAGGCUCGAAAGCGCGGGGAGCAAACAGGAUUAGAUACCCUGGUAGUCCACGCCGUAAACGAUGAGUGCUAGGUGUUAGGCCCUUUCCGGGGCUUAGUGCCGCAGCUAACGCAUUAAGCACUCCGCCUGGGGAGUACGACCGCAAGGUUGAAACUCAAAGGAAUUGACGGGGGCCCGCACAAGCGGUGGAGCAUGUGGUUUAAUUCGAAGCAACGCGAAGAACCUUACCAGGUCUUGACAUCCCUCUGACCGCUCUAGAGAUAGAGUUUUCCUUCGGGACAGAGGUGACAGGUGGUGCAUGGUUGUCGUCAGCUCGUGUCGUGAGAUGUUGGGUUAAGUCCUGCGACGAGCGCAACCCCUAUUGUUAGUUGCCAUCAUUGAGUUGGGCACUCUAGCGAGACUGCCGGUAAUAAACCGGAGGAAGGUGGGGAUGACGUCAAAUCAUCAUGCCCCUUAUGACCUGGGCUACACACGUGCUACAAUGGCUGGUACAACGAGUCGCAAGCCGGUGACGGCAAGCUAAUCUCUGAAAGCCAGUCUCAGUUCGGAUUGUAGGCUGCAACUCGCCUACAUGAAGUCGGAAUCGCUAGUAAUCGCGGAUCAGCACGCCGCGGUGAAUACGUUCCCGGGCCUUGUACAC